AGAGUUUGAUCAUGGCUCAGGACGAACGCUGGCGGCGUGCCUAAUACAUGCAAGUCGAGCGGACAGAUGGGAGCUUGCUCCCUGAUGUUAGCGGCGGACGGGUGAGUAACACGUGGGUAACCUGCCUGUAAGACUGGGAUAACUCCGGGAAACCGGGGCUAAUACCGGAUGCUUGUUUGAACCGCAUGGUUCAGACAUAAAAGGUGGCUUCGGCUACCACUUACAGAUGGACCCGCGGCGCAUUAGCUAGUUGGUGAGGUAACGGCUCACCAAGGCGACGAUGCGUAGCCGACCUGAGAGGGUGAUCGGCCACACUGGGACUGAGACACGGCCCAGACUCCUACGGGAGGCAGCAGUAGGGAAUCUUCCGCAAUGGACGAAAGUCUGACGGAGCAACGCCGCGUGAGUGAUGAAGGUUUUCGGAUCGUAAAGCUCUGUUGUUAGGGAAGAACAAGUGCCGUUCAAAUAGGGCGGCACCUUGACGGUACCUAACCAGAAAGCCACGGCUAACUACGUGCCAGCAGCCGCGGUAAUACGUAGGUGGCAAGCGUUGUCCGGAAUUAUUGGGCGUAAAGGGCUCGCAGGCGGUUUCUUAAGUCUGAUGUGAAAGCCCCCGGCUCAACCGGGGAGGGUCAUUGGAAACUGGGGAACUUGAGUGCAGAAGAGGAGAGUGGAAUUCCACGUGUAGCGGUGAAAUGCGUAGAGAUGUGGAGGAACACCAGUGGCGAAGGCGACUCUCUGGUCUGUAACUGACGCUGAGGAGCGAAAGCGUGGGGAGCGAACAGGAUUAGAUACCCUGGUAGUCCACGCCGUAAACGAUGAGUGCUAAGUGUUAGGGGGUUUCCGCCCCUUAGUGCUGCAGCUAACGCAUUAAGCACUCCGCCUGGGGAGUACGGUCGCAAGACUGAAACUCAAAGGAAUUGACGGGGGCCCGCACAAG
rnacentral:rRNA from 1 species